rnacentral:rRNA from 1 species
UGGGWGACGAGUGGSGGACGGGUGAGUAAUGUCUGGGGAUCUGCCCGAUAGAGGGGGAUAACCACUGGAAACGGUGGCUAAUACCGCAUAACGUCGCAAGACCAAAGAGGGGGACCUUCGGGCCUCUCACUAUCGGAUGAACCCAGAUGGUAUUAGCUAGUAGGCGGGGUAAUGGCCCACCUAGGCGACGAUCCCUAUCUGGUCUGAGAGGAUGACCAGCCACACUGGAACUGAGACACGGUCCACACUCCUACGGGAGGCAGCAGUGGGGAAUAUUGCACAAUGGGCGCAACCCUGAUGCACCCAUGCCGCGUGUAUGAAGAAGGCCUUCGGGUUGUAAAGUACUUUCAGCGGAGAGGAAGGCGACGGGGUUAAUAACCCUGUCGAUUGACGUUACCCGCAGAAGAAGCACCGGCUAACUCCGUG